AAACUUUCUGCAGGGCCACACAGCACGGGCAGGCAGGCUGACACUCUUCUUGGGAGACAGCUGCACUAGCUGUGGGGUUCUCUCUCCUCUCUCUCCUUUUCACCUCCGGUGCAAACAGGCUCCCAGCUCUCCCCUCUGGCAUCUGCCUUUUGGGGUGUUGCAGUGCGGGGCGGCAGGCACUCAGAGCAGGUAUCCGGGCAGUGACGCCAUCUGUAGCAGCUCUGGAUCCCCUCCAAGGCAGGCAAAGGCCUGGAAAAUUGGGAUCUGGAGGCGGCUGCCCGAAGGAGGGGGAGGGAGCCCUUGCGCUCAGAGGAGGCUUUGGCUCUGCUCGGAGGGGUGGGCACUUCUAGAGAGCACUGUCUCUCCUGUGUGAGAACGGGCCUUUGCACAAGAGGCAGACAGAUCCUUAAGCUCUGUUAGAGUCCUUGGCUGGACCUUCCUAAGAGUCUCCGCCCUACUCCAGCCUUGACACCUGUAUUCCUCCACUAACCAUCUGAAUAGAAAUUUGGGGGUUUUGUUGUCAACUUAAGCUUCUAAACUAAGCCUUUGCCAAGUCAUUUCCUGGCUCCCACACCCUCAAUGACUCCUCAUGACUUAAAAGAAUAAGGGGCAAAUUUAAGCCCAGUCUUUCUUGUGAUUGGUGCUCCCCUGGUUCUCUGGCACUCCUCCACCAUUCCACGUAGCAUUCAUAAUUCAGCACGGGUGUACUGAGCACCCGUGACAGCCCCGUGUGCAUUCUCUUUAAGCCUUUUUCCUGUAGGCCCGACCCCCGCCUUACAUGCUCUCCCAUCUCAAUUCUAUCUAAGCAUCUCUGGCUCUUAGGAAGCUCCCUUAGUGUGCCCGGGAUAGCACAGUCUCUUGUUCUCUCCGGGGCGUUUGAGUGGGAAUGGCUCUCCAACCAGACCCUGUGCUGUGGACGAGUCACCUCUGAUGCCAGUGCCAUAGGACAUGACCCAGACACAACCAUCACCCGACAUUCCUGAACACAAACUCAGCAUCAGUGUCAGAGGCUCUGAAGUGCAGUCCUGCCCUACCCGUGCUUGCUCUGUGACCUUGGGGAGGACACUUACCCUUCCGGAGGUUAGCUUCCUCAUCUGUAAACAGGAACAAGUGCUCGGCAGCAGCUUCGAGGUGGGAGGACUGCGGGUAGAGCUUGAGCUUUGACUCAGCAACUGGCCCAAGACCCCUUCUCACCCUAACCCUCUACCAUACCUCCCCAGCCCCUCACCCUGUCUUCAAAGGGAAGACUCCUGUUGAAGACCCUCCAGGAAAUGCCAUCCCUCUUCCACCAUCGACUCCAAGCACUAUAGUCCUGCCGUUUUGCCACAAGGCUAAACUGACUCUCCACCCAGAUGGACCAAAUUCUGGGUUAGCCCCUGGGCACCUCACCAGGCAGCUAAAGGCCUUGGGGCAAUUCCAAGGUCUGGACUACUGGGAAAUGGGGCUGUGGUCCAACCUCUCACUCUCACAGGAAGGGCCCUCCUGCGCCCCAGAUCUCUUGCUCCCCACAGCGAUCUCUGGAAGGCACACAGAUGAGGCCACGAGAGUCUGAUGCCACACCUGCUCAGUAAAUCUGCACCGCCGCCCUCCAGCCCGACACCCCCC